AGAAUUUUAAGUUAGUUAAACUUUUUGUUUUCAAAACAAAGUACGGCUUUGGUCAGGUUCUG
rnacentral:tRNA from 1 species